rnacentral:rRNA from 1 species
AUUGAACGCUGGCGGCAUGCCUUACACAUGCAAGUCGAACGGCAGCACGGGGCAACCUGGUGGCGAGUGGCGAACGGGUGAGUAAUGCAUCGGAACGUGCCAUUGAGUGGGGGAUAACGUAGCGAAAGUUGCGCUAAUACCGCAUAUUCUGUGAGCAGGAAAGCAGGGGACCGCAAGGCCUUGCGCUCUUUGAGCGGCCGAUGCCAGAUUAGCUAGUUGGUGAGGUAACGGCUUACCAAGGCGACGAUCUGUAGCGGGUCUGAGAGGAUGAUCCGCCACACUGGAACUGAGACACGGUCCAGACUCCUACGGGAGGCAGCAGUGGGGAAUUUUGGACAAUGGGCGCAAGCCUGAUCCAGCCAUGCCGCGUGAGUGAAGAAGGCCUCGGUGUAAG